rnacentral:hammerhead_ribozyme from 1 species
GCACUGAUGAGGAGUCCCACAAUAGGACGAAACGGCCGCCCAGUGC